CCAUAACGCGGUCGCCCCGCGAUCGUCCCUUCUCAAAUUGCUGGGGCGUUAGGGCGGCCAUAUGCGUUCUUACCACCCUUGAUUUUGAGCACCUUUUUGUUUCCUCGGCAGGGACGCCUGCCAGCGAGGACCCCCCAAAACCUUUUGCAGUAUGCAGUAUUUGUCUGAAAUAAACUUUGAAUAAUCA
rnacentral:misc_RNA from 1 species